UACGUAGGGUGCAAGCGUUGUCCGGAAUUAUUGGGCGUAAAGAGCUCGUAGGCGGUCUGUUACGUCGGCUGUGAAAACCUGGGGCUCAACUCCGGGCCUGCAGCCGAUACGGGCAGACUAGAGUUCGGCAGGGGAGACUGGAAUUCCUGGUGUAGCGGUGAAAUGCGCAGAUAUCAGGAGGAACACCGGUGGCGAAGGCGGGUCUCUGGGCCGAAAGCUGACGCUGAGGAGCGAAAGCGUGGGGAGCAAACAGG
rnacentral:rRNA from 1 species